rnacentral:rRNA from 1 species
UACGGGGGGAGCAAGCGUUGUUCGGGUUUACUGGGCGUAAAGGGCGCGUAGGCGGUCAGCACAAGUCAGUUGUGAAAUCUCCGGGCUUAACUCGGAAAGGUCAACUGAUACUGUGCGACUAGAGUGCAGAAGGGGCAACUGGAAUUCUCGGUGUAGCGGUGAAAUGCGUAGAUAUCGAGAGGAACACCUGCGGCGAAGGCGGGUUGCUGGGCUGACACUGACGCUGAUGCGCGAAAGCCAGGGGAGCGAACGGG